GUAGGGAAUAUUGGGCAAUGGGCGAAAGCCUGACCCAGCAACGCCGCGUGCACGAUGAAGGCCUUCGGGUCGUAAAGUGCUUUUCUGAGGAAUGAGUAAGGACAGUACCUCAGGAAUAAGCCUCGGCUAACUACGUGCCAGCAGCCGCGGUAAAACGUAGGAGGCAAGCGUUAUCCGGAUUUACUGGGCGUAAAGCGUGUGUAGGCGGUUCGGCAAGUUGGAUGUGAAAGCUCCUGGCUUAACUAGGAGAGGUCGUUCAAUACUACCGAACUUGAGGGCAUCAGAGGAGAGUGGAAUUCCCGGUGUAGUGGUGAAAUGCGUAGAUAUCGGGAGGAACACCAGUGGCGAAAGCGGCUCUCUGGGAUGAUCCUGACGCUCAGACACGAAAGCUAGGGUAGCGAACGGGAUUAGAUACCCGAGUAGUCC
rnacentral:rRNA from 1 species